AUGUGUAUUCUGAAGGAGAGAGGAGGUAUGGGAUUCCGGGAUAUUCAUAGCUUUAACUUGGCAAUGUUGGCAAAGAAGUGUUGGAGACUAAUUGAGAACUUUGGUUCAUUAUGUGCACGAGUUCUGAGAGCCAAGUACUACCCUACAGGAGAUAUUCUGAAUUGUCAACUGAAGAAGGGGUUAUACUAUGUGUGGCAAUGUAUUUGGUCUGGAAUUCAAACGUUCAAGAAGGGUUACAUUUGGAGAGUAGGCAAUGGAGAAAACAUUAAUAUAUGGGAUGACUGUUGGAUCCCGAACAGUGCCUCCAAAAAAGUUUUAACAGUAAGGGAGAACCAAGUACUUACUAAAGUGAAUGAGUUAAUUGACCCAAUCAUGGGAGAAUGGGAUGAGAUGUUAAUCCGAGAGAAUUUCUGGCACAUUGAUGUUGAAUGCAUACUACAAAUCCCAUUAUUCCAUAUGGAGACAGAGGACUAUGUUGCAUGGAAUCUCAUGAGGAGCGGCGUUUUUUCAGUAUGUUCU
rnacentral:rRNA from 1 species